UAGGGAAUCUUCCGCAAUGGGCGAAAGCCUGACGGAGCAACGCCGCGUGAGUGAUGAAGGUCUUCGGAUCGUAAAACUCUGUUAUUAGGGAAGAACAAAUGUGUAAGUAACUAUGCACGUCUUGACGGUACCUAAUCAGAAAGCCACGGCUAACUACGUGCCAGCAGCCGCGGUAAUACGUAGGUGGCAAGCGUUAUCCGGAAUUAUUGGGCGUAAAGCGCGCGUAGGCGGUUUUUUAAGUCUGAUGUGAAAGCCCACGGCUCAACCGUGGAGGGUCAUUGGAAACUGGAAAACUUGAGUGCAGAAGAGGAAAGUGGAAUUCCAUGUGUAGCGGUGAAAUGCGCAGAGAUAUGGGGGAACACCAGUGGCAAAGGCGACUUUCUGGUCUGUAACUGACGCUGAUGUGCGAAAGCGUGGGGAUCAAACAGG
rnacentral:rRNA from 1 species